rnacentral:tRNA from 1 species
GUGGCACAAUGGUUGAGCACUCGGCUGCUAACUGAAAGGUUGGUGGUUCAAACCCACCC